AUUUGAAUUGAUAUCCAAAUAUUCAAACAUGUUGUGAACUUUAAGAACAUUUAUAAAGAAGAUGUUAAAUCCAAAACAUCGAAGUAUUUUAACAAAAAAAAAUAUAGUAUUCAAGUGUUUGAUAUGUUGUAGACUGUAGUCAUGUAAAUAUCUGAAAAUAGUAUAAUAUUAAAUUAUAAAAUAAUAAUUUAUUUUAUUUAUUAUUUAUAAUCUCUCCUAUUUUCACUCUCUCUCCUGUCCCUCAUUUUCUCCGCCACUAUUCCUCCCUCAUCUCAAUUCUCAACUUCACUGGAUCCUCGAGAGCAACCCCGUCGUCAGUGGUCGCAUGGCCACCGUCAACAUCUCCACCCACACCUUCGAGGCCGGCGCCUCCAUUCUCCACUCCAGGAACUUGCACGCUUUGAACUACACCAAUCUCCUCAACCUCGUCGUCAAAAGCCCCUCCUCCUCUAUUCUGCGCUUCAAAUCAAAGCUUCCCUUUGCUGAUGAGAGUGUUUUGGUUUCCAAUUCACUCCUCAUGCUCUUCAGAUACGGCUUCUCCCUUGUCAGGAUGGACAAGGUUGUUGAGGUAAGAUUGUUUGGCAUCUUAUUAAUUUAUUGGGUGUUAAUUUGGUGAAGUCCUUGCCUAUGAGAAUCAUCAAUCCUGCUACUGAAGAAAUCAUGGAUCUAGAAGGAGGAGAGGGAUAGUCGUUGGUGCAGUCGUGGUGGUGGUGGUGGUGUUGAGCGGGAGUGGGAUGGACGGCGGCGGUCCUAGGGGUCUGAUGCGGGGCGAGGGAGUAGGAAAGAGAUCCUUCCAUUUUGUUGCAGGGACAAGGACUCAUUUUGAAAAACUAACGAGGGUGUAGGAAAGUUUCAUUAAACAUGCACUGUCGCUCUGCAUGUUUUGGAAAAGGGCUAGAUUUUCAAAGCUAUGUUUUGCUGCAUGAGCUUUUAGUCUUUUUAUUCACCCUCAAUUUAAAAAAGCUGGUUUUAGAGUGUUUACCAAACACUAAAAAGACCCCAACUUUUUUUCAUACAUGCAUUUUUUUUAUAAUUUCAGCUGUACCAAACUGGUACUAAGAGCCCCAGACUUUCUUUAAUAACACUAUAUUUUUGUUACACCUUACAAGAGUGGUAUUUAAUCAAUCACAUAAACAUGUACCUAACAAAUAAUAUAGUGCAUCCUCUAUGGAUAUGAAAAGCUGCAACAAAUUUCAAUGUUAAUCCAGGUGUGCGUACGUAACUACCUCCAGGGUAUAUGUAUGAUGGCUUAUCAGAAAUUUUUGAAUGAUGGCCUAUCAGAAAUUGGAAACCAAAAUAGCUCCCAUAAUUUAUUAGGGGCUAUAUCUAUGAUGGCUUAACAGAAAUUUUUAUCUAUAAUAAUGCUUUG